CGGGAUGUGGCUCAGUUUGGUAGAGCGCCUGGUUCGGGACCAGGAGGUCGCAGGUUCAAAUCCUGUCAUCCCGACCA
rnacentral:tRNA from 1 species